rnacentral:lncRNA from 1 species
GGAAGAUAAAAACAAAAUGGAGGUAACUCUUAAACUAAAGGUACAACAGACCCAACAGGCAGAAAAAGAGCCUGCAAGGCAAGAGAAUGAGACCCAAAUGCUGCACCAGUUCAAGCUGAAGUACAAAGGAGGCCAAAAGUUUACCCUGCUGUGUUCGAUUUUUAAAAUUCUAUAGCCCAUUUUAGGUUAAAGAUCCUAUCUCCUCUUUUUUCAAAAUGUCUAACCCCAUCCCAAACAUGAGAACCAUUUUUUCUACCCUCUUCCAAAUGUGAAACCUGCUGAGCAAUUAAAAAGAACAGAAGUCA